AAACGCUCGUAGUCGGGUUUCGGGUCGGGCCGAGCGGUCUGCCGAUGGGUAUGCACUGUUUGGCGCGGCCUUCUUUCCGGAGACCGCGGCUACUCUUAACUGAGCGGGCGUGGGAGACGGAUCGUUUACUUUGAAAAAAUCAGAGUGUUUCAAGCAGGCAGCUCGCUCUUGCAUGGUACAGCAUGGGAUGAUUGAAUAGGACUCCGGUGCUAUUUUGUUGGUUUCGAACACCAGGAGUAAUGAUUAACAGGGACAGUCAGGGGCACUCGUAUUCCGUCGAGAGAGGUGAAAUUCUCAGACCAAUGGAAGACGAACCACUGCGAAAGCAUUUGCCAGGGAUGUUUUCACUGAUCAAGAACGAAAGUUAGGGGAUCGAAGACGAUCAGAUACCGUCGUAGUCUUAACCAUAAACCAUGCCGACUAGGGAUUGGAGGGUGUUCGUUUCGACCUCUUCAGCACCUUACGGGAAACUAAAGUCUUUGGGUUCCGGGGGGAGUAUGGUCGCAAGGCUGAAACUUAAAGGAAUUGACGGAAGGGCACCACCAGGAGUGGAGCCUGCGGCUUAAUUUGACUCAACACGGGGAAACUUACCAGGUCCAGACAUUGUUAGGAUUGACAGAUUGAGAGCUCUUUCUUGAUUCGAUGGGUGGUGGUGCAUGGCCGUUCUUAGUUGGUGGAGUGAUUUGUCUGGUUAAUUCCGAUAACGAACGAGACCGUAGCCUGCUAAAUAGUCCCGCGAACUUCUUGUUGGCGGCCGACUUCUUAGAGGGACAACUUGUGACCAACAAGUGGAAGUUUGCGGCAAUAACAGGUCUGUGAUGCCCUUAGAUGUUCUGGGCCGCACGCGCGCUACACUGAAGCACUCAACGAGUCCACCUCGACCGACAGGUCUGGGAAACCUUUUGAAAUUGCUUCGUGAUGGGGAUAGAUUAUUGCA
rnacentral:rRNA from 1 species